rnacentral:lncRNA from 1 species
ACUUAGAAAUAUAUUACUUUGUUUGUAAUUUUAAUUAUAAUUAUACAGGUAUUUUAAUGGAGAAGAUGUGAGAGUAUCUUAGACCCAUUUGCACUUCCGACCUACAGAGUGUCUCUGCACCUACGAUGCACCAACUGGCAGUUCCAUCAUUUGAAAGAAAAUCUUCAAGGUAAAGAUGUUUACAAUGACACAAAAACCUUUCAAAGGUAUCAUGGUCCUAAAGGGCUUU